rnacentral:piRNA from 1 species
ACUUUUGCACAUUGCUCAGCUGCUG